UACGAAGGGGGCUAGCGUUGUUCGGAAUCACUGGGCGUAAAGCGCACGUAGGCGGAUGUGCCAGUCAGGAGUGAAAUCCCGGAGCUCAACUUCGGAACUGCCUCUGAUACAGCACGUCUUGAGUCCGGAAGAGGUGGGUGGAAUUCCUAGUGUAGAGGUGAAAUUCGUAGAUAUUCGGAGGAACACCAGUGGCGAAGGCGGCUCACUGGUCUGGUACUGACGCUGAGGUGCGAAAGCGUGGGGAGCAAACAGG
rnacentral:rRNA from 1 species